GUCUGUAAUUGUCAAGUAGCCCUGAACAUCUUGAUUAACUGCUUCAGGUGUGUUUGAUUGGGACUGGAGCUGGAAUCUGCAGGACAGUAGCUCUCCAGGAGCAGGGUUGGAGACCAAGAGUGACUCCUAGUGGUCACAGCGACAUAAAUGAAGUUCAGAGACCGUCUUUGCACAAAGUUGAGUGUUCUUUUUUGAGGGAUCAUUUACACAAUCUUUUAUUGUACAUAAAUGCUUAUUUUUAAGGUUGCGUUUGGCUUUGUUUACUUAAUUUUAAACGCAGUUUCUCGCAUGCUCUUUCUGUUACCAAUCAACAGUUUUGACUAGCUAUAUAAUUUACAGAGCUGAGCAGGAUUUGUGUUUUUGUAUGUGCUUAUUUUACCACACAAUUUAAAUGUCUUCAACAACUGCAGUCUGUGUUUAAUUUUAAGUAAUUUCACCAGGUGCCGUUGCAUUGACCCAUACCGGGGAUUUUAUAUCAGCAUACCGCAGUGCCUAGUUAGGUUGCUACUAGCGGCCCAGACUGUGACACCGAGUCAGUCAGUCCACCUGUUGACACAGGUGAGAGAGCUCGUGGUCUCGCGCUUCGUCAACUGUCCGUUAUCUUCUGCUUUGUUUUUCUCCUCUCUGAGAUGCUCUACAAGUCAGCGGUGACCAGUUUUUUUUAAAGGCUGUGAUUAAACCACAUGGUAUUGAUGGAAUCUUCUGCCGUUUCCUAAAGAAAGGCCUGCUGCAUGACUGGAUAUUUUCCCAUGCAAAGAUUCCAGAGUAUUUGACUAGACUCAUUUUUGUCUUUUUGCCAGUUUACUACAACAAACCAGCUUUUUGUAAUUGCUUAAAUUACUAUAAACUAAUAUUCUAAAUUCUGAAGUAGCUUAUCUGUAUCUGCAGUGGAAAAUAAUAAAUUGCAACUGAGCCUCUGCACAACUGUAAUUUGGCGGCAGGUGAAUUUAUUAUUAGGCUAUGUUAAGCAAUUGUAAAACGGUUAUAUAAACAAGUAUUUAACAAUAAGAAACUUAUACUUUAGACACAAUAUGGGCGGUUAUUUUGACAAAUUUUUACUCCGCUAACGAAAAUAUUUCCAAAGCAGAAUCAAAGUGCCAAACAACGCAUCGGUGAUAGACUGCUUGAAUGGAACGCGGAGUGAUACAAUCAGUGAAACGUCCAAAUUCU